rnacentral:rRNA from 1 species
UGGGGAAUAUUGGACAAUGGGCGCAAGCCUGAUCCAGCCAUGCCGCGUGAGUGAUGAAGGCCCUAGGGUUGUAAAGCUCUUUCACCGGUGAAGAUAAUGACGGUAACCGGAGAAGAAGCCCCGGCUAACUUCGUGCCAGCAGCCGCGGUAAUACGAAGGGGGCUAGCGUUGUUCGGAUUUACUGGGCGUAAAGCGCACGUAGGCGGACUUUUAAGUCAGGGGUGAAAUCCCGGGGCUCAACCCCGGAACUGCCUUUGAUACUGGAAGUCUUGAGUAUGGUAGAGGUGAGUGGAAUUCCGAGUGUAGAGGUGAAAUGCGUAGAUAUUAAAAAGAAUACCGGUGGCGAAGGCGACUUACUGGGCUCAUUCUGACGCUGAGGAACGAAAGCGUGGGUAGCAAACAGG